CUUGGUCAUUUGCUCGUACCAGCGGGAUAUGCGCUCGAUGAAAUCGAGCAUCGCUUUCAAGCGACGAGCAACGAGGGGACUGAGUGUCUCAUCGCCCUUCGCUUCCUCUAU
rnacentral:misc_RNA from 1 species